UAAUUCUGUUAUUAUUACUUAUUUAUUAAUUUUUAAUUUUUAAGUGUUAAUAUCAAAUAUAUAAUGGGAUGAGCUUUUAUAUAUAAUUUUAAAAAUAAAUUUGUUUAUUAUUAGAUGUAUAAUUUAAAUUGUUAAUCAUUAAAAUAAUUUAAUAGUUAAUUUUAUCUUUGAUUUUAUUUAUUUGAUUUUAAAUUUUAUAUUAAAAUUUAUGAUUAAAUUAAUUUUUUUUAGUAAUUAUGAUUAAAUUAGUAAAUAUUUCUGUACAUUAUUUUUAUUUUUUAAGGUUAAUAAAAGUAAUUCGGCAAAAUUGAAUUUUCCGCCUGUUUAUUAAAAACAUGUCCUUUUGAUUAUAAUUUAAGGUCUAAUCUGCUCAAUGAUAUGGUUAAAUUGCCGCAGUAUUUUAACUGUGCAAAGGUAGCAUAAUAAAUAGUUUUUUAAUUGAAAGCUGGAAUGAAUGAUUGGACGAGAAAAUUUCUGUCUCUUUUUAAUUUUUUUUUGAAUUUAACUUUUAAGUUAAAAGGCUUAAAUGUAUCUAAAAGACGAGAAGACCCUAUAGAGUUUUAUUUUUAUAUAUAUUAUUUUUAUUAAGAAUUUAUUGAUUUAAUUUAUUUAAUAAUUUAGUUGGGGUGAUUUAAAGAUUUAAUAAACUCUUUUAAUUAUUAUCAUUUAUUUAUGAAUAAAAAGUCUAAAAAUUUUAAUUUUAAAAUUAAUUACCUUAGGGAUAACAGCGUUAUUUCUUUUUAGAGUUCUUAUUAAAAAUGAAGUUUGCGACCUCGAUGUUGGAUUAAAAUUAAUCUUAGGUGUAGAAGCUUAGGAAUUGAGUCUGUUCGA
rnacentral:rRNA from 1 species